UGUGUGUGUCUGAGGAAGAUUGUUGCUGAGCCAACAUCUGUGCCAAUCUUCCUCUAUUUUUCAUGUGGCAUGCCGCCUCAGCAUGGCUUGAUGAGCCAUGCUAGGGCCACACCUGGGAUCCGAAACUGCAAACUCCAGGCCACAGCAGUGGAGCACGUGAACUUAACCACUAGGCCACCGGGCCGGUCCCCGUUCAAUCUUUUUAGACCAAUCCAUUUUGAUUUUCUUAUUCACUAAGUCCAAGAUAAGGAGAACCUCUGAUUUUCCUAGCUCCCCGUUGGCUAUUAGGGGUGAGACUCUGGUGUCUCCAGGGUGGGCAGAGACAGUUAGCAGAAGCUCUCAUGUGAUGCUGUCUUAGCCAGCUCACUUUCCUCCCGGAUACGUUACAAAUUUCAACCAGCACCUUAAAACGUGAACACGGAUGUGCUGGCUGUAUUUCCUGUCUGGAAGCCAGCAGAGAAGAGUUCUAAGCAAGUGGGACCCAGCCUGGGUAGAUUUUGCACUGGGAAGAGGAGACAUGCGAAUAUAUGGAGCAAUCAGCACCUCUAAAGAAAAGCGAGCCCAGGUGGGCUGUCUUAGCUGCUGGGAGAGGAGAUGCACCUCUACCACUCAGUCAAUCCAGCCUCAGUUUGAUAUUCUGAGAACCCGACUGCUCCCCCUUUAGAGCUUGGCCAAGUCCCUAAAUGCUCAGAGUCAAGGAGAACAAUUCAUGCUUGUCAGAUAAUGUUUACGGCUCAUUCCUUGUACGCUGGCUAUUUCACUGACUAGGUGACUUGCUUGAACCCUGCCCCUUGAGAUGCUGAGGAUCAAUGGGCCAAGACAGAGGAUUUGGCAAAGUUGGCAUCCAGUGGCCUGGAUAUUUUUUUUACAUUUUCCAGGAUAUUAAGAACUGCUGGGACAAUGACUAAGCCAGAAACUCAUCUUCCAUACAGUUCUACUUGGUUUUUGUUAUUUUAUGCCACUAAUUGUGCUUUGCCUUUAUAGAGUGUUUACUUGCCUGCCUAUAUGCUCCUGAACAAACAUGAGAAAAUGUAUCAUAAAAUCUGUUCGACAAAGAAACAGAGCUUUUUCAGAACCCAUGUCAGGCCUUAUCAAACAUAUUCAUGAAAGCCUGUGGACAUCCAUAUGGGGCACGCUUGGAUAUCUACGAGACACACACCCUUAAAUUAUACAGACAAAGGGAUGCCAAGAGUUGACAGCAUGCAAAAGCCGAAGAACCUCAGAGGUGGAGUGGUCAGAGGAUUCUCAAGUGGUUUUUAAACCACAGAACAUUUUCUUCAGGCGAAAGUUGCUGCAGAAGCUCAAUCUACAGACUGUGAACGGCUAAGAGAGCAGGAAACAUGUCCUAUUCACAUCAUCAGGCAAAAUGCCUGCCCCUACCCGAGGCCUCAAAAUUCAUGAAGAAGAUGACCUGGACCCCAAAAAUUGCUCUUCCAUUUACCUUCAGUUUCCAACUCUGUUACCACUCAGUGGAUGAUGGUGGGAGAUCUAUGAUGGUUUUCCCAUUUGCCUGGUGAGGAUUCGUCUCAAUCAACUUUGUCAAAGACAAAUUCAUUUCACUUCUUACUGAUAAGAGAUAUCAUCUUACUGACAGAAUAUAUCACACUCAUGCAAGAAUAUUUUUAAGUUGUAUGAGCUAAGGAAAUAAAAAUAUAUUGAAAUAAUGAAUUAAUUGAAAUUAUUUCUUCAGUAUCUUGUCUGUGUGUGUCUCUGUGUGUG
rnacentral:lncRNA from 1 species